AACAUGGGGCGCAGCCUGAUGCAGCCAUGCCGCGUGUAUGAAGAAGGCCUUCGGGUUGUAAAGCACUUUCAGCGAGGAGGAAGGUGUUGAAGUUAAUACCCUUGUCAAUUGACGUUACUCGCAGAAGAAGCACCGGCUAACUCCGUGCCAGCAGCCGCGGUAAUAG
rnacentral:rRNA from 1 species